GAGUGAGCGUAGAUCUUUUAGAAUUUUUCUAACAGGAUUUCUGACCUUGGUCAGAAAAACCCAU
rnacentral:snRNA from 1 species